rnacentral:rRNA from 1 species
CCAGUUUACAAGAUAGCCAUGCAUGCCUAAGACUAUGAGGAAGCAAUUCUCUCUGAAUCUGCGAACGGCUCCGCAAACCAGUUGUAAACCAUAGCAGCGUUCCGCCCGGCUUCAGCAAUGGGGCCGGGCAUUAUAUGGAUAACCGUGGUAAUUCUGAGGCUAAUACAUGACACACUAACCCGUCGGGCUGGGGGCAACCUCGGCUUGGUGGGGGACGUGCGAUAAACACCGGCUACAAUUAAAAAUACCGCGAAAAGGACGCACGUUCAGACCGCCAUCCAAACGGGGGAGGGGGCUUCGGCUUCGGAACCCGGGCGGCCCCUGCAACGGGCUUCUGACCUAUCAACUAGACGGCAGCGUAAGGGACAUGCUAUGGUAACAACGGGUACAGAGGAUUAGGGUUCGAUCCUGGAGAGUGGGCCUGAGAGAUUGCUCAUACUUCUAAGGAAGGCAGCAGGCGCGCAACGUUCCCCUUGGGCAAAGCUCGAGGGCGUUAUGGGAAAUAUGAAUGCUUGCCUUUACGGUGGGCAAUUCAAAUGGGUUUGUCGUAAACAGGCUCUCGAGUAACAAUUAGAGGACAAGUCUGGUGCCAGCACCCGCGGUAAUUCCAGCUCUAAUAGCAUACGUUAAAGUUGUUGCGGUUAAAACGCUCGUAGUCGGCUUCAGACCAUCAGAAGCCUGGCUCGGGGUCUCGGGUCUGUGCCUCGCAAGGGGUGCGCCUUGGUCUUGGGCCGGGUGGGCGGCGGUCAAUCGUGCCCAGUGGCGUGUCGCGGCUUGCCGUGGCUUACAGGGCCUUCGGGAUCAAAACCCGGCUUCCGCAAGGGGGUCGGGUCCCGUCGGUCUGGCUCUGGGUACCAAUUACCAUGAUUAAACCGGAGUGAUCAAAGCAAACCGCUGCGGUUACUGCACGGAUUAGCAUGGCAUAAGGAUGCGUCGGGUUGGUCUCGUAGCGGGCCUCCUCGGCAAUUCCGCGAAAGGGGUGUUCGGGGGCAGCCGAAUUGCCGGGCUAGUGGUGAAAUACGUUGACCCUGGCAAGUCGACCGAAAGCGAAAGCAGCUGUCAAGGGCACACCCGUUGAUCAAGAGCGAAAGUUAAGGGUUCGAAGACGAUCAGAUACCGUCGUAGUCUUAACUAUAAAUGAUACUGGCCAGGGAUAGGGCAAUGUCCAUCUCGACUCCCCCCGGACUUUUGGGAAACCAAAGCCUAUGAGUUCUGGGGGAGUAUGGGACCGCC